rnacentral:misc_RNA from 1 species
GGGCGAGUACGAUAUAUGUUUGCGUCUUUUUGGAAUAGGAAUCAUGCAAUUAGAGCCUUGCAACGCUCAACAACGAACUACCAUGAAAUGCUAGAAGCAGAGAAAAAGGAGAGGGAACAGUCAGCACUACGUGCACAUAGCAGCUCAGUUAAAGGAAAUAAAAAGAUGGAUAUGAGCCAGGAAGAAAAUUUGCCAAUGACUGGGAAAUCUCAGCCUUUUAUCAAAG